rnacentral:rRNA from 1 species
CGGAUUCAGAGACUAAGCGAAAGUGAUAAGUUAGCCACCUGGGGAGUACGAACGCAAGUUUGAAACUCAAAGGAAUUGACGGGGGCCCGCACAAGCGGUGGAUUAUGUGGUUUAAUUCGAUGAUACGCGAGGAACCUUACCAAGGCUUAAAUGGGAAUUGAUCGGUUUAGAAAUAGACCUUCCUUCGGGCAAUUUUCAAGGUGCUGCAUGGUUGUCGUCAGCUCGUGCCGUGAGGUGUUAGGUUAAGUCCUGCAACGAGCGCAACCCCUGUUACUAGUUGCUACCAUUAAGUUGAGGACUCUAGUAAGACUGCCUACGCAAGUAGAGAGGAAGGUGGGGAUGACGUCAAAUCAUCACGGCCCUUACGCCUUGGGCCACACACGUAAUACAAUGGCCGGUACAGAGGGCAGCUACACAGCGAUGUGAUGCAAAUCUCGAAAGCCGGUCUCAGUUCGGAUUGGAGUCUGCAACUCGACUCUAUGAAGCUGGAAUCGCUAGUAAUCGCGCAUCAGCCAUGGCGCGGUGAAUACGUU